rnacentral:rRNA from 1 species
UACGAAGGGGGCUAGCGUUGCUCGGAAUUACUGGGCGUAAAGGGCGCGUAGGCGGACAGUUUAGUCAGAGGUGAAAGCCCAGGGCUCAACCUUGGAACUGCCUUUGAUACUGACUGUCUUGAGUUCGGGAGAGGUGAGUGGAAUGCCGAGUGUAGAGGUGAAAUUCGUAGAUAUUGGGAAGAACACCGGUGGCGAAGGCGGCCAUCUGGACCGCAACUGACGUUGAGGCGCGAAAGCGUGGGGAGCAAACAGG